UAUGCGACAUCAAAUGGGACACGAUGCCGUCCUACUCAUAAGUCUGUAGCAAAACUUUGACACGAUGACUCAUAGACUCGGCUGCACUACGAAUGAGGUGGAGUCUUACCGAUCCUUCGUUGAAUGCCAAUCUCAUCUACUAUGAGGGAUCGUCAAACUGCUUGUCUAUACCUACGGGCAUAAAAUGCAGCAUCCCCAGGCAAAAGGGACGUCAGUACGAAUAAUGUACCGAGUAUGUAAGGCACAUAAAUAAGUACAUAACCGACAUGGAAGAAAUAUAGAGUAAAUGACUCAACCUGUAAGUCUAGAUAACUCUGUAAAUCAUGAAAUACUUAUAGUAUCAUGCAUAUGCAUAUGAAUAUCAUGUCGUGCAUAGGUACAUGUGUUCGUAACAUGAUCAAGCCUUUGAGGGCAUCCCAUCAUAUCGUCUCGGCCACUGUGGGCAAAAUCGUUAACGUAUACCAGCUGAUCAGGUGGUGGUGCGUAUAUAAUGCCAUAAUCUUUCCCGUAUCUCAUAUACAUAUACAUAUAUAUAUAUAUAUAUAUAGGACAAAAUCGUCAAUGUAUACCAGCUGAUCAGGUGGUGGUACGUAUAUAACGCCAUAACCUUUCCCGUAUCCCAUAUACAUAUGUAUACAUAUAUAUACGUGUAUAUAAUGCCAUCUAGUCAUGGGUCAGUAUAAAUGAAUGCAAUGCAUGAAAUGCAUAAGAAAUACGUUAAUACGAUUUUCGCGGAAUGCCAUUAAAAUCAAUAUACUUUUCGGAUAAACUUUAUCAAAUACGUAUUUUUCUGAGACUCAUGAAAAGAUAAUAGAAUAAUAUGACUUAUGGGAGAAUAAGGAUAUACGCAUCUCUAGCAUUUCUAAGAAUAGAGUAAUUUUUUGGAAGUUGUGCAUUUGCUCGUUUCGUUUGUGUUGUAUAGAUCAUGCCAAAAAGAAAGAAGGGAUGACCUUAACAUACCUGAGCCGAUUCUCUUGGCAAUCCCUCUAGCGCACGCCAAUUGCGACAACAUAUAAUCGCGGAUUGGAGUAGGAAAAAAUCCGUAUAAUAUUCUUGAGAAAGAUUGCAAAAGUAUUUCAUUGGACAUUGAUUGGAGGAUUAACAAUAAAGGGCAUUCUAAAAGUCUUAGCACUUUUUAACCCCGAUGGAUUUCGUAGUAGUGAAUCCUUUCUCACGAAGUAUUGGACAAUUACAUUUUUUUUUUCAUGAUGUAUUCAUGCUAGAGACAUAAACAGCUACUGAUAUAGAAAUCUUGUCAGAACACAAACUCUUAGAAGAAAUUUUGCCGAUGGGACAUAACUUUUAUAAAGAUUUUUUUUGUAUAAAUCACCAUAAAAACAAAGUUGGAAAUACACUUCUUAUACAACCAUGCAUUAACAUAGAGACAGACACACAUAGGAAUUAAAAAGCAGAUAGUUGAAGUAAAGUAGCUUCAUAAAUGAGAAAUAUUACAUCUUUUAAAAAGAUAACAAAAUAAUAAUAAUUGAGACAUUACACAAGGGAGAAGGCACACGCAACACAAACACUAUUUCAUACAUUAAUGGUAAAAUGGGACAGGAGAACAAUAAGAAAUAGUCUAUGGGUCCUAAGACACCAACAAAAUUCAUGGCCGUUCUAAUUUUUUUUCAAUAAUUUGUCCUUUUGCCAUGUCUUGAAAAAUAAAACUGUCCAAAAAAAAAAAAAACACCAGAAAGGAUUCAACAGAAACUACUCUUUAUAGCAUCUACUAGUGACAAUACCAUUCUCUGGCUUCACCUUUUAAGAGAUUCUAAACCAGGGUUAACCACCUUCUAUACAAAGAGUAGAUGUAAUUACUUAAAGUAGCUCCUAACUAGACUGCUUCUACCGUGGGUGACUACUCAAUGUGCAAUAAAGCUUGGCAUGUAGGAGGACCAAAGAA
rnacentral:lncRNA from 1 species